ACCAAUCUCAGUCUGUCUCUAUGUUUACAGUAGAGAGGACACAAAAGAACCCAGAACAACAUGUUACGCUCAUUUUACAGGUGAGCAAAGGAGAAAAAGAACCAGACUGUUCUUCAGUGAUCCAAAGUCUUAUUUUCAGAUGAAAGUAAAAUUUACACUUGAUUUGGAAAUCAAGGUCCCAGAGUCUGGAGGAAGAGCGGAGAGGCACAGCAGCAUCCACAUUGCUUGAAGCUCAAUGUGAAAUUUCCACACAGGACUUGGCACCGGCCCACACUGCCAAAUGUACCCAGAAGCGGUUCGAUGAACAUGGUGCUCUGGUUUCUGAUUAGCCAGCAAACUUAGCUGCCCUAAACCCGAGAGAGGAUCGAUGCAAUAUUGUUAAAAUAAAGACGGAAGACACAGAAACCACAAAGAUGACCUGAAAGCUUUUUUUUAAAGCAACACAGGCUUUUAUUACAUCCACUUAGCCGAUUACUUUCAUGCAAUAGCGCAUUGAUGUAAUAGUUCAUGUUAAAGGAGCAUCAACCAAUUAUUAAGGGCAUACUGUUAAUUAUUUGUAAGUCAUAAUCAUUAAAAUUACAAGAAAUAAAUUUAAAUAUUUCACUCUUUGUAUUAAAUCUGCAUAAUAUAUUAUAUAACAUUUCACUUUCUAAAAUGUGACAAGAAAUAUUGAACUUUUUCAUGGUAUUCUAAAUUUUUGAGAUGUACAGGUAGCCUUGAAAUUGCAUAUAUAUUUUUUUAUCAAGUAAAUCAAAAACCAUUUGAUUUACUUGAUAAAAAUCAAAAGGCUGUUCUAAGCAAUCUAACCUACUGUGUCAGUCAAGAGGGGGGGCUACAAGGUCCAGAAUAUUUAAAAAGAACCUGCUUUCACCUGCAUUAAAUGUGCCUUCAAACGCUUUCUGUAGUAUUCUGAUUAACACAGCUAUGGCAUCUCCGUUCUAGCCGGAGAGCAGGAGAGAAAACAUGUGCAUGGUUAGAGUUACACAGCGAGGGAAAAAUGCCAGAAAGGACAUGCGCAGAGGCCGACUUGCCAAAGGGGCUUUGGAUCCCACUCAAGCCCGUUUGCUACUGAUGUUUAUUUGUGAUACUUAUCAGCUCAUAUGGGGGAGGGGGGAAGAAUUGGACCAUUUAUUGUACAGAUUGUUCAAGGUUCUUUAUUUGUCAGUCAUAUAACCAGUUACAUUUGUAGAUUAAUUAAGCAGUUACAGUUACAUCGGCCCCAUUUGUGGUGCCUCUCCUCUCAACCGCGGUCGAGCACCCGCGGGAUACAUGAAGGCAUCCUCACCGUGCUGACCAACACACCACAAAGAGGCACACAACCACCAACCCCUUCACAUCUCAGCUGAUUGCUCUCAUCUCCACUCAGCCAUUACUUCAAUCUGUCAGCUUUUUUAAAUUUAGAGAAGCAAAAUUUAAACAAACCAGUUAGUUGCUUUACCCCCCCAAAGAUUAGUCUGUUUAGCUAUAAAAAAAAAUAAUAAAUAAAUAAAAAAACAGUAACAACAGUGGAAAAGCAACAAGCCAGCAUCCCACUGGCUCACCCUCAGGACAUGAAAAGCAAAGAGUGAGUGGCAGUCGAGUGAGUAUCUGUGUGUGUGUGUGUGUGUGUACACUCAUUUCUCAUUCAAAGUUAACAUUUGCCCCAAACAUUGACAAACACAAAUGUUCAGCAGCACAUUGUUAUGUUAGGAUAUUGGCAUAUUUUGAGCAGGCUGAUGCUCCUGUAUGAAAAUAGAGUUUUAUUUGUCCUGAGCGUGUCUGUUUGACCUAAACCAGGGAGUGUCUCUGCACAACUCCUUUGGUGCCUCUAGUCUUUUCAGACAGACAUCCCACGUUCUCCCUCGGAGGCUGUCAUGAUAUGUUUGGCCAGUGGAAAGCUUCAAUUCGAAUAGAGAGGGCACUGAUUGGCUUACUGCAUUCCUGCUCAACAUAACUGCAUCACAGAUAUUCACUGCACUGCAACACAUUGGUGAAUUAUCAUGUGCAUGAAUCCUAAUGUCGCUGUCUGCGUGAUGUAUCUACUUUCACUAAAUAACACUAAAUGUACAAUGUUUUUUUUUUGGGGGGAUUUUUAAAAAUGAUAUGUUGGCAAACAUCUACAGAACAAUGUGCAUUUUUUUUGUUUGUUUUGUCUUUUUUGUUCUUCAGCUAUGAACUAUUCUUUUGCUACAGCCACGUCUUACUGCGGUCAUUUGUCAAAAACACGUCUGAAUUCGUAGCAACAGUAGAGAAGAAGAAAAGUUUCAACUAAGCGUUUUUGAACAAAGUCGGGUGUUUUUAGAAACUGCGCGUUUUUUAAAUAUUAAGUUUUUUUUAUCAAAUGUGGUUCUUUUGAAGUGGUUCUAUUUACAUUCUGUGAAAAAAAUGGUCCUUUCCAGAUUACUUAAAACGUUUCCUAUCUUUCUUUCCAGAGUCUUUUUUUUUAUCAGUUUAAAAGCACAGAAAUACAAUAUUUACCUCGUCCUGAAAAGAAUACAUUCUCUUAUGUAAAUGUGCCUUUAUCGUACAUUACCUGGCUGUCAUUAAGCCUGUCUGCAAAACCCAGCUUGCACCGAUGAAGGCUGAAAACUAAACCAGGCGCUACCCUCCGGUGUGUAACAAAUACUGCUUCUCAGUCAAACUGUAUUGUAUGAGAUGGACAGGUAUGAAAAGUUUGUUAGUUAAACUCAACAACAUUUUAAUACAGAGUAGAAAGAGACAAAGACAGUUACAGAAAGCUACAAGUAGGUCUCGACACCAAAAAAGUUACAAUUCCACUUAAAGUAAAAUGACGUAACGCUUGUUGUGGGAAGGCGAGACUGUAGUGACAUCAAUCUGGCGCUUUAUGCAGACCCGGCAGGCACAGGAACCUAUAAGGAGCAUUUACAUAUCUAUAAUACUGUAUUAUGGCUGAAUAGAUA